rnacentral:tRNA from 1 species
UGGGGCGUCGUCAAGCGGCUAAGACACUGGUUUUUGGAGCCAGCAUCCGCAGGUUCGAAUCCUGCCGCCCCAGCCA